GCUGGCGGCGCGCUUAACACAUGCAAGUCGAACGAGAAAGGGGAGCAAUCCCUGAGUAAAGUGGCAGACGGGUGAGUAACACGUGGGUGAUCCACUCCUUGGUAGGGGAUAACCCUGGGAAACCGGGGCUAAUACCGCAUAAGUCCGAGAGGAGAAAGGCGCAAGUCGCCGAGGAAGGAGCCCGCGGCCGAUUAGCUAGUUGGUAGGGUAAUGGCCUACCAAGGCAUUGAUCGGUAGCCGGCCUGAGAGGGCACACGGCCACACUGGCACUGAGACACGGGCCAGACUCCUACGGGAGGCAGCAGUGGGGAAUCUUGCACAAUGGGGGAAACCCUGAUGCAGCGACGCCGCGUGAGCGAUGAAGCCCUUCGGGGUGUAAAGCUCUUUCGACGGGAACGAUAAUGACGGUACCCGGAGAAGAAGCUGCGGCUAACUACGUGCCAGCAGCCGCGGUAAUACGUAGGCAGCAAGCGUUGUUCGGAGUUACUGGGCGUAAAGAGUGUGUAGGCGGUUCGCUAAGUUUGGUGUGAAAUCUCCCGGCUUAACUGGGGGGGUGCGCCGAAUACUGGUGGGCUAGAGUGUGGGAGAGGGAAGCGGAAUUCCUGGUGUAGCGGUGAAAUGCGUAGAUAUCAGGAGGAACACCGGUGGUGUAGACGGCUUCCUGGACCACAACUGACGCUGAGACACGAAAGCGUGGGGAGCAAACAGGAUUAGAUACCCUG
rnacentral:rRNA from 1 species